AGCGAACGCUGGCGGCAGGCCUAACACAUGCAAGUCGAACGAACUCUUCGGAGUUAGUGGCGGACGGGUGGGUAACACGUGGGAACGUGCCUUUAGGUUCGGAAUAACUCAGGGAAACUUGUGCUAAUACCGAAUGUGCCCUUCGGGGGAAAGAUUUAUCGCCUUUAGAGCGGCCCGCGUCUGAUUAGCUAGUUGGUGAGGUAAAGGCUCACCAAGGCGACGAUCAGUAGCUGGUCUGAGAGGAUGAUCAGCCACAUUGGGACUGAGACACGGCCCAAACUCCUACGGGAGGCAGCAGUGGGGAAUCUUGCGCAAUGGGCGAAAGCCUGACGCAGCCAUGCCGCGUGAAUGAUGAAGGUCUUAGGAUUGUAAAAUUCUUUCACCGGGGACGAUAAUGACGGUACCCGGAGAAGAAGCCCCGGCUAACUUCGUG
rnacentral:rRNA from 1 species